AGUGAACGCUGGCGGUAGGCCUAACACAUGCAAGUCGAACGGCAGCACAGUAAGAGCUUGCUCUUACGGGUGGCGAGUGGCGGACGGGUGAGGAAUACAUCGGAAUCUACUUUUUCGUGGGGGAUAACGUAGGGAAACUUACGCUAAUACCGCAUACGACCUACGGGUGAAAGCAGGGGAUCUUCUGACCUUGCGCGAUUGAAUGAGCCGAUGUCGGAUUAGCUAGUUGGCGGGGUAAAGGCCCACCAAGGCGACGAUCCGUAGCUGGUCUGAGAGGAUGAUCAGCCACACUGGAACUGAGACACGGUCCAGACUCCUACGGGAGGCAGCAGUGGGGAAUAUUGGACAAUGGGCGCAAGCCUGAUCCAGCCAUACCGCGUGGGUGAAGAAGGCCUUCGGGUUGUAAAGCCCUGUUGUUGGGAAAGAAAAGCAGCAGGUUAAUACCCCGCUGUUCUGACGGUACCCAAAGAAUAAGCACCGGCUAACUUCGUG
rnacentral:rRNA from 1 species